AUAAAGAAUUGACUAGCUAAAAAUCCGAGCAUUUCGAAAUUACAGGUCUCGGAAAUUCAUUUACAAAAUAAGAUCUGAUGCAUUUCUGCAAGCAGAGAAACGAUGAGCAAAUGUGUGAUUAAAUUUGUUUUUUCCACCAAAAAUCUAACUAUUUGGAUAAAAAAUCAUAGUUAAUUUCUAGUGGGACUUACCGUCGGAGUAUAUGGGGCUUCCACCAUGCCUGCAGGCAGUGCAUCCAGGUAUAGCGGAUGAAACUAAUGCCACGCGAUCUGCAAUCAAAGGCAUCAAUAAUAUAUGCACUAUUACAUUAUACCAAUGUUUUACGAUCCGUUGAAAUGGAUAAAACAUGACGAACACGCUGAUACUGUGCGAAGUGAUCGAAACGGAACGACGUUUAAGCGAGCUACAAGAAACGGUGGAUGCGUGCAUGAAAACGCAGGUGAAAUUUGCUCGUUUGAUAAAAGAAACAUAGUGAAAUCAGCACGACGCUCAAUUUCAACAUUUGGAAAGUAUCAUUCGUAAAGUAAACAAAAAAAAAAAGGCGAAGUAAUACGAAAUUUCUUGCUAUAAUAAGACUUUACGAUAUGGAUUUUGGCUAAAUACUCGUGAUUUUUGUUUUUCUUAAUUAACGACGUUAUUAACAGAUUCUGUACGCCGAGGAGGCGUUAAUAAAUAGCUUAGCGGUAACGCUUUAAUUGGUGAAAAUGUCUUCAAUUACAUACACGUAACAAGCCAAAGAGUACACAACUAUGAACGUACCGCCGCU